rnacentral:rRNA from 1 species
UACGAAGGGGGCUAGCGUUGCUCGGAAUCACUGGGCGUAAAGAGCGUGUAGGCGGUCCGAUAAGUCGGCUGUGAAAGUCCAGGCUCAACUCUGGAAUGCCGGCCGAUACUGUCGGACUAGAGUCCGGAAGAGGUGAGUGGAAUUCCCGGUGAUAGCGGUGAAAUGCGCAGAUAUCAGGAGGAACACCAAUGGCGAAGGCAGCUCGCUGGAACGGUACUGACGCUGGAGGCGACGAAAGCGUGGGGAGCGAACAGG